rnacentral:rRNA from 1 species
GAAUUUAAUAUGAAUUUUAAUUAAUAAAUUAUUUGUGAAUAAAUGAAUUAAAAUUUAUAUUUGAUUGGGAGGAUUAUUAAAUUAAAUUAACUUUAAUAAAAAAAAACAUUAAUUUAUGAUUUAAAAUUUUAUGAUUAAAAUAUUUUUUAUAAUAUUUUAUUAAAGAAUUAAUUACCUUAGGGAUAACAGCGUAAUAUUUUUAAAAAGAUCUUAUUGAUAAGAGUGAUUGC